rnacentral:rRNA from 1 species
UACGUAGGGACCAAGCGUUGUUCGGAUUUACUGGGCGUAAAGGGCGCGUAGGCGGCUUAACAAGUCACUUGUGAAAUCUCCGGGCUUAACUCGGAACGGCCAAGUGAAACUGUCAAGCUAGAGUGCAGAAGGGGCAAUCGGAAUUCUUGGUGUAGCGGUGAAAUGCGUAGAUAUCAGGAGGAACACCUGAGGUGAAGACGGGUUGCUGGGCUGACACUGACGCUGAGGCGCGAAAGCCAGGGGAGCAAACGGG